rnacentral:rRNA from 1 species
GACGAACGCUGGCGGCGUGCUUAACACAUGCAAGUCGAACGAUGAAGCUGGAGCUUGCUCCGGUGGAUUAGUGGCGAACGGGUGAGUAACACGUGAGCAAUCUGCCCUUGACUCUGGGAUAACUGCGGGAAACUGUAGCUAAUACCGGAUACUUUCACUGGAAGGCAUCUUCUGGUGAAGAAAGAAUUUCGGUCAAGGAUGAGCUCGCGGCCUAUCAGCUUGUUGGUGAGGUAACGGCUCACCAAGGCGACGACGGGUAGCCGGCCUGAGAGGGUGACCGGCCACACUGGGACUGAGACACGGCCCAGACUCCUACGGGAGGCAGCAGUGGGGAAUAUUGCACAAUGGGCGCAAGCCUGAUGCAGCAGCGCCGCGUGAGGGAUGAAGGCCUUCGGGUUGUAAACCUCUUUUAGCAGGGAAGAAGCGAAAGUGACGGUACCUGCAGAAAAAGCACCGGUUAACUACGUGCCAGCCGCCGCAGUAA